GACGAACGCUGGCGGCGUGCCUAAUACAUGCAAGUUGAGCGCUGAAGGUUGGUACUUGUACCAACUGGAUGAGCAGCGAACGGGUGAGUAACGCGUGGGGAAUCUGCCUUUGAGCGGGGGACAACAUUUGGAAACGAAUGCUAAUACCGCAUAAAAACUUUAAACACAAGUUUUAAGUUUGAAAGAUGCAAUUGCAUCACUCAAAGAUGAUCCCGCGUUGUAUUAGCUAGUUGGUGAGGUAAAGGCUCACCAAGGCGAUGAUACAUAGCCGACCUGAGAGGGGGAUAGGCCACAUUGGGACUGGGAAACGGCCCAAACUCCUACGGGAGGAAGCAGUAGGGAAUCUUCGGCAAUGGACGAAAGUCUGACCGAGCAACGCCGCGUGAGGGAAGAAGGGUUUCGGAUCGUAAAACUCUGUUGGUAGAGAAGAACGUUGGUGAGAGUGGAAAGCUCAUCAAGUGACGGUAACUACCCAGAAAGGGACGGCUAACUACGUG
rnacentral:rRNA from 1 species